UAAAUAUACAAGUAUAACACGUGCAGGCGU
rnacentral:piRNA from 1 species